UACAGAGGGUGCAGGCGUUGUUCGGAAUUACUGGGCGUAAAGCGCGUGUAGGCUGCGAUGUAAGUCAGGCGUGAAAGCCCUCAGCUUAACUGAGGAAGUGCACUUGAUACUGCAUCGCUCGAGUGUCGGAGGGGGUGGCGGAAUUCCCGGUGUAGAGGUGAAAUUCGUAGAUAUCGGGAGGAACACCUGUGGCGAAGGCGGCCACCUGGACGACAACUGACGCUGAGACGCGAAAGCGUGGGUAGCAAACAGG
rnacentral:rRNA from 1 species